rnacentral:misc_RNA from 1 species
UAGUGGUUUAUGUAAUUGGGACCCUGUUGUGUUUGAUAUGCUAAUUAAGGCUUUUCUCAAGGUGAAUAUGGUGAAAGAUGGAUUUAGAGCGUUUAGAAAGACGGUGAAGCAUGGUAUGUACCCGAGUGUUAUUUCUGUGAACUGUCUUUUGAAUGGUCUUUCGAAGUUGAAUUAUAGCAAAAAAUGUUGGGAAGUUUAUGCUGAAAUGGGAAGAAUUGGAGUGCACCCGAAUUCGUGUACCUUCAAUAUAUUAACUCAUGUAUUGUGCAAAGAUGAAGAUGUGAA